rnacentral:piRNA from 1 species
UCCACAUCAUCAUCUAAUCCU